GGACCCAGCUGCGGCGACGCCAGGAGACCCCAAGCUGCAUCGCCGAGUGGAAGCAACUAGAACUCCAGGGCUGUGAAAGCCACAGGUGGGGGCUGAGCGAGGCGUGGCCUCAGGAGCGGAGGACCCCCCCCACUCCCCCACGAGCGCCGCAGUCCACCGUAGCGGGUGGAGCCCGCCUUGGUGCGCAGUUGGAAAACCUCGGAGCCCCGCUGGAUCUCCUGGCUGCCACCCGCACCCCCCACCAGCCUAGGCCCCACCGUAGAGAUGCCUUCUUCGGUGACGGCGCUGGGUCAGGCCAGGUCCUCCGGCCCCGGGAUGGCCCCGAGCGCCUGCUGCUGCUCCCCUGCAGCCGUGCAGAGGAGGCUGCCCAUCCUGGCGUGGCUGCCCAGCUACUCCCUGCAGUGGCUGAAGAUGGAUUUCGUCGCCGGCCUCUCAGUUGGCCUCACUGCCAUUCCCCAGGCGCUGGCCUAUGCUGAAGUGGCUGGACUCCCGCCCCAGUAUGGCCUCUACUCUGCCUUCAUGGGCUGCUUCGUGUAUUUCUUCCUGGGCACCUCCCGGGAUGUGACUCUGGGCCCCACCGCCAUUAUGUCCCUCCUGGUCUCCUUCUACACCUUCCAUGAGCCCGCCUACGCUGUGCUGCUGGCCUUCCUGUCCGGCUGCAUCCAGCUGGCCAUGGGGCUCCUGCGUUUGGCUCACAUCUCCCCUCAUCCUCUGGGACUGGGUGGAGCUGGGACCAGCUCGAUGUCCCCUCUUGGCUGGCCAGGGUU
rnacentral:sRNA from 1 species